rnacentral:rRNA from 1 species
UACGGGGGGAGCAAGCGUUGUUCGGAUUUACUGGGCGUAAAGGGCGCGUAGGCGGCCACCGCAAGUCGACUGUGAAAUCUCCGGGCUUAACCCGGAAAGGUCAGCCGAUACUGCGGGGCUAGAGUGCAGAAGGGGCAACUGGAAUUCUCGGUGUAGCGGUGAAAUGCGUAGAUAUCGAGAGGAACACCUGCGGCGAAGGCGGGUUGCUGGGCUGACGCUGACGCUGAGGCGCGAAAGCUAGGGGAGCGAACGGG